UGACGUGAGGGCGAUCUGGCUGUGACAUCUGUCACCCCAUUGAUCGCCAGGGUUGAUUUGGCUGAUCUGGCUGGCUAGGCGGGUGUCACCUUCCUCCCUCACCGCUCCAAGUGCAUCCCUCCCAAAGCUGCGUGCUCAGUCAAAGAGAACGAGCUUCCCCACUGGAGGAGGACCGGUCUUCGGUCAAGGGUAUACCAGUAGCUGCGCUCCCCUGCUAGAACCUCCAAACAAGCUCUCAAGGUCUUUCUACAUCUUUUUUUAAAGAUUUUUUAUUUAUUUGAAAGUCAGAGUCACACAGAGUGAGGAAAGGCAGAGAGAAAGAGAGAGAGAGAGUUCCUC
rnacentral:snRNA from 1 species